UAACUAGUUUAGGAAACAGAUGACUAAUACCGACAACUAAAACCUAACACCGCAUGGUGUAGGGUUAGAAAGAUUGGUUUCGGCUAUCUACUUUAGGAUCGGACCCGCGGUGCAUUAGUUAGUUGGUGAGGUAAAGGCUCACCAAGACCGUGAUGCAUAGCCGACCUGAGAGGUAAUCGGCCACACUGGGACUGAGACACGGCCCAGACUCCUACGGGAGGCAGCAGUAGGGAAUCUUCCACAAUGGACGAAAGUCUGAUGGAGCAACGCCGCGUGAGUGAAGAAGGUUUUCGGAUCGUAAAACUCUGUUGUUGGAGAAGAAUGUAUCUGAUAGUAACUGAUCAGGUAGUGACGGUAUCCAACCAGAAAGCCACGGCUAACUACGUG
rnacentral:rRNA from 1 species